GCCAGCAGCAAGGAAGUGUUUGGGGCCAACCAGGUAGCAAACACCAUCCAAACAGGUUCUUACUGACUGGGAGGCAGAGAGGAGCACACAAGCCCCAUCAUGGUGCUGGUGAUGGUGGUGAUGAUAGGCAAGGCUGGGGUUGAAAGUCCCGCACCGUGAGUCAGAGGGAUGGGGAGAAUCUGCCCCAAGCAGCUGCAGCCCUCAGACACAUGUGGGCUGAGUGUUUCUUGAUUGCAGAUAAUUCAAUUCAUGUGGGGACGAAGGGGAAAAACAAUAAGAAGAGAGUUUCAGAAAGGCCUAGGUUGUUGUGCUCUGGUCUUGUAGCUGGUGGCCUGGGAGAUGGUUUGGGUGGUAGGUGCUGGAAGCUAAGGCCACUUCUAGAAUCUCAACGACAGUGGCAGAAUACAAAUCAACCCACCCCAUGCACAGACGGCUGGGAUCCUUUGAGGCUCUUGUUUUAUGGAUGAAAUAAAUCCAGCCAAUGGGGAAUGGAAGGCUCUGAAUUAUGAGAAACGAGCUGUCAAGAUUGAAAAAGCGGUGAUUUAUUCCUUGUCGGACAGGCUGCAGAGUGGCACAGGCCCUGUCCACCCGGGUGAUGUUCCCAAUGAUGCUGUGUGAAGCCCUCGGGAGUGCACUGAUUGCUUCAGCACUGUGUCCUGCCUGCUCCGCUCCUGGGCUGUGGCAGUGCAGAAGCAGAGUGAUCGGGGCAUAGCAUCACGCUGUUGAUGUCAAUUACUGGAGAAUUACCAUUAUUUCCAGCACAGCUACAGUGUAAUCCCCACAAAUAACUAUAGAGCUGAUUCACAUAAACCCUGUUAUUGUCCUUCAGAUGUUUUCUAGGCACAAGGAGCUGUGGUUGUGGGGG
rnacentral:lncRNA from 1 species